CUUUGGUUGUGGAAAGUUUUUUCGGUUGGGGAUGGGCUCGCGGCCUAUCAGUUUGUUGGUGAGGUAAUGGCUCACCAAGACGACGACGGGUAGCCGGCCUGAGAGGGCGACCGGCCACACUGGGACUGAGACACGGCCCAGACUCCUACGGGAGGCAGCAGUGGGGAAUAUUGCACAAUGGGGGAAACCCUGAUGCAGCGACGCAGCGUGCGGGAUGACGGCCUUCGGGUUGUAAACCGCUUUCAGCAGGGAAGAAGCCUUUCGGGGUGACGGUACCUGCAGAAGAAGUACCGGCUAACUACGUGCCAGCAGCCGCGGUAAUACGUAGGGUACAAGCGUUGUCCGGAAUUAUUGGGCGUAAAGAGCUCGUAGGUGGUUGGUCACGUCUGCUGUGGAAACGCAACGCUUAACGUUGCGCGUGCAGUGGGUACGGGCUGACUAGAGUGCAGUAGGGGAGUCUGGAAUUCCUGGUGUAGCGGUGAAAUGCGCAGAUAUCAGGAGGAACACCGGUGGCGAAGGCGGGACUCUGGGCUGUAACUGACACUGAGGAGCGAAAGCAUGGGGAGCGAACAGGAUUAGAUACCCUGGUAGUCCAUGCCGUAAACGUUGGGCACUAGGUGUGGGGGACAUUCCACGUUCUCCGCGCCGUAGCUAACGCAUUAAGUGCCCCGCCUGGGGAGUACGGUCGCAAGGCUAAAACUCAAAGGAAUUGACGGGGGCCCGCACAAGCGGCGGAGCAUGCGGAUUAAUUCGAUGCAACGCGAAGAACCUUACCAAGGCUUGACAUACACCAGACCGUUCUGGAAACAGUUCCUCCCCUUUGGGGUUGGUGUACAGGUGGUGCAUGGUUGUCGUCAGCUCGUGUCGUGAGAUGUUGGGUUAAGUCCCGCAACGAGCGCAACCCUCGUUCUAUGUUGCCAGCACGUAAUGGUGGGAACUCAUAGGAGACUGCCGGGGUCAACUCGGAGGAAGGUGGGGAUGACGUCAAAUCAUCAUGCCCUUUAUGUCUUGGGCUUCACGCAUGCUACAAUGGCUGGUACAGAGAGAUGCGAGACCGCGAGGUUUUAGCGAAUCCCUUAAAGCCAGUCUCAGUUCGGAUCGUAGUCUGCAAUUCGACUACGUGAAGUCGGAGUCGCUAUAAUCGCAGAUCAG
rnacentral:rRNA from 1 species